GACGAACGCUGGCGGCGUGCUUAACACAUGCAAGUCGAACGGAAAGGCCCUGCUUUUGUGGGGUGCUCGAGUGGCGAACGGGUGAGUAACACGUGAGUAACCUGCCCUUGACUUUGGGAUAACUUCAGGAAACUGGGGCUAAUCCCGGAUAGGAGCUCCUGCUGCAUGGUGGGGGUUGGAAAGUUUCGGCGGUUGGGGAUGGACUCGCGGCUUAUCAGCUUGUUGGUGGGGUAGUGGCUUACCAAGGCUUUGACGGGUAGCCGGCCUGAGAGGGUGACCGGCCACAUGGGGACUGAGAGACGGCCCAGACUCCUACGGGAGGCAGCAGUGGGGAAUAUUGCACAAUGGGCGGAAGCCUGAUGCAGCAACGCCGCGUGCGGGGUGACGGCCUUCGGGUUGUAAACCGCUUUCGCCUGUGACGAAGCGUGAGUGACGGUAAUGGGUAAAGAAGCACCGGCUAACUACGUG
rnacentral:rRNA from 1 species